rnacentral:rRNA from 1 species
GAUGAACGCUGGCGGCGUGCCUAAUACAUGCAAGUCGAGCGAACGGACGAGAAGCUUGCUUCUCUGAUGUUAGCGGCGGACGGGUGAGUAACACGUGGAUAACCUACCUAUAAGACUGGGAUAACUUCGGGAAACCGGAGCUAAUACUGGAUAAUAUUUUGAACCGCAUGUUUCAAAAGUGAAAGACGGUCUUGCUGUCACUUAUAGAUGGAUCCGCGCUGCAUUAGCUAGUUGGUAAGGUAACGGCUUACCAAGGCAACGAUUCAUAGCCGACCGGAGAGGGUGAUCGGCCACACUGGAACUGAGACACGGUCCAGACUCCUACGGGAGGCAGCAGUAGGGAAUCGUCCGCAAUGGGCGAAAGCCUGACGGAGCAACGCCGCGUGAGUGAUGAAGGUCUUCGGAUCGUAAAACUCUGUUAUUAGGGAAGAACAUAUGUGUAAGUAACUGUGCACAUCUUGACGGUACCUAAUCAGAAAGCCACGGCUAACUACGUG